rnacentral:rRNA from 1 species
CACUCUAAGCGGUGGAUCA